GACGAACGCUGGCGGCGUGCUUAACACAUGCAAGUCGAACGAUGAAGCCGGAGCUUGCUCCGGUGGAUUAGUGGCGAACGGGUGAGUAACACGUGAGCAAUCUGCCCUUGACUCUGGGAUAACUGCGGGAAACUGUAGCUAAUACCGGAUACGACACCCUGGGGCAUCCCAGGGUGUGGAAAGAAUUUCGGUCAAGGAUGAGCUCGCGGCCUAUCAGCUAGUUGGUGAGGUAAUGGCUCACCAAGGCGACGACGGGUAGCCGGCCUGAGAGGGUGACCGGCCACACUGGAACUGCGACACGGUCCAGACUCCUACGGGAGGCAGCAGGGGGGAAUAUUGCACAAUGGGCGAAAGCCUGAUGCAGCAACGCCGCGUGAGGGAUGAAGGCCUUCGGGUUGUAAACCUCUUUUAGCAGGGAAGAAGCGAAAGUGACGGUACCUGCAGAAAAAGCACCGGCUAACUACGUGCCAGCCGCCGCCGUAA
rnacentral:rRNA from 1 species